rnacentral:rRNA from 1 species
CACGUAGGGGGCAAGCGUUGUCCGGAUUUAUUGGGCGUAAAGAGCUCGUAGGCGGCUUAGUAAGUCGGGUGUGAAACCUCCAGGCUCAACCUGGAGACGCCACCCGAUACUGCUGUGGCUAGAGUCCGGUAGGGGAGCGUGGAAUUCCUGGUGUAGCGGUGAAAUGCGCAGAUAUCAGGAGGAACACCAGCGGCGAAGGCGGCGCUCUGGGCCGGUAUUGACGCUGAGGAGCGAAAGCGUGGGGAGCAAACAGG